AGCAGCCGCGGUAAUUCCAGCUCCAAUAGCGUAUAUUAAAGUUGUUGCAGUUAAAAGCUCGUAGUUGAAUUUCGGGAUCAAUGCGUCGGUCGUGCUUUCGGGUACGUACUGGUGUCAUUGGUUUCUCCUUUCUGACGAGCCGUGAUGUCAUUAAUUUGGUGUUACGGGUAGUUAGGACUGUUACUUUGAAAAAUUAGAGUGUUUAAAGCAGGCAUUGGCUUGAAUACAUUAGCAUGGAAUAAUGAAAUAGGACGUUCGAUCCUAUUUUGUUGGUUUCUAGGAUCAACGUAAUGAUUAAUAGGGAUAGUUGGGGGCAUUAGUAUUCAAUUGUCAGAGGUGAAAUUCUUGGAUUUAUUGAAGACUAACUACUGCGAAAGCAUUUGCCAAGGAUGUUUUCAUUAAUCAAGAACGAAAGUUAGGGGAUCGAAGACGAUCAGAUACCGUCGUAGUCUUAACCAUAAACUAUGCCGACUAGGGAUCGGAUGAUGUUAAUUUUUAAUGACUCAUUCGGCGCCUUAAC
rnacentral:rRNA from 1 species